rfam:Triticum aestivum genome assembly, contig: Triticum_aestivum_CS42_TGACv1_scaffold_255474_3DL
CUACUACUCCCUCCGUCCUAAAAUUCUUGUCUUAGAUUUGUCUAUAAAUACGGAUGUAUCUAGUUACAUUUUAGUGUUACAUACAUCCGUAUCUAGAGAAAUCUAAGACAAGAAUUUUGGGAUGAAGGGAGUAUUUC